AGAUGGAGAUUAUGAAAACUCAUCAAAUUCCAACAUCUGUCAUAUGAAAGAUUCAAUCAGCUCGAGUCUGAUUAUGAAACUCAUGAAAACUCCUUUCCAUCAAUCAUCUUAUUGUGGUCACAGACUUAAGGACUCAGCUUCUCAAAUCUCAUAGGACUGCUCCUUAUCUACGAAGAUCGAUGGAUUCCAUUUAAAUACGCACCCUGCUCUUAUAGUGAACCUACUAUAGCCAAUAUCCACUAUAAGGAUCCAUAUGGCUAUGGACUAUAUUUUAUGUUUAAUCAAACUACAGCAAUCCCACUAUGAGCAGUCGAGGCACCGC
rnacentral:lncRNA from 1 species